rnacentral:rRNA from 1 species
AUUAAAAUAAAAUAAAGGUAUUAAUAAAAUUUGUUUAAACCUAUAAAAUAUAUGGCGGCAUUUAAUCUAAUUAGAGGAAUCUGUUUAUUAAUCGAUAAUCCACGAUAAAUUUUACUUUUUUAUAUAUUUUAUAUACCUCCGUCUAAAGAGUUUAUUAAUAAAUCUUAUUCAAAAUAAAAUCUAAAAAGAUAGGUAAAGGUGUAGACUACAAAAAAGAUUAAAUGGAUUACAUUAAAUACAAUUUAAGGAUUAUUAUUUAAAUAUAAUAUUAAAAAAGGAUUUAAAAGUAAUUUUAAAAUAACAUUUUAUUUUUAAUAAGAAAAAAAAUGUGU